rnacentral:lncRNA from 1 species
GGAUGCAGUGUCCCUGCAGUGGUUGCAGUGCCCCCACAUUGUCCGGGAAUGUGGAUGCAGUAGUCAUGCAGUGGAUGCAGUGUCCCACAAGGUGGAUGCAGUAUGUUGUGAUGGAGGAUGCAGGGCCCAUGAAGGUGGAUGCAGUGAACCUGCAGUGGUUGCAGUGUCCCCUGCAGUUUCCCUGAAUGUUGAUGCAGUGCCCAUGCAGUAGUUGCAGUGUCCCACAGGGUGGAUGUCGUAUGUUGUGAUGGAAGAUGCAGUGCCCACGAAUGUGGAUGCAGUGAUCCUGUGCUGAACGCAGUGCACCUGCAGUGAGACUUCAGCUGUUUGCAGUGUCCCUCAAGUGGUUCCAGAGCCCACUGCAUUGUCCGAGAAUGUGGAUGGAGUGCCUAACAGUGGACGCAGUGGGCCACAAUGUGCAUGCACUAUGUUGUGACGGAGGAUGCAGUGCCCAUGAAGGUGGAUGCAGUGAUAUGGCAGUGAUUGCUGUGUGCUGGCAUUUCCACAUCAGCUGGAAGCAGUGUCCCUGCAGGGGUUGCAGUGCUCCCUGCCUUGUCGCUGAAUGUGGAUGCAGUUCCAAUGCAGUGGAUGCAGUGUCCCACAAGGUGAAUGCAGUAUGUUGUGACGGAGGAUGCAGUGCCCACGAAGGUGGAUGCAGUGAGACUGCAGUG